rnacentral:rRNA from 1 species
AUGAUACCUAAGGUCAACUCACCGGAGUUGUUAUCCCAGUUUCGUCCCAUAAGCCUCUGCAACGUGUUAUACAAGAUUGCCACAAAAGUCCUUGCAAAUAGGCUUAAAGGCAUCCUCCCCAUUCUUAUUUCUGAAGAGCAGAGUGCCUUUGUCCGGGACGUCUCAUUACGGACAAUGUUCUGGUGGCAUACGAAUGUGUUCAUGCGAUCCGGAAGAGGGAAAGGAAAAAACCGCUUUGUGCGGUGA